CCUGGCUCAGAUUGAACGCUGGCGGCAGGCUUAACACAUGCAAGUCGAGCGGGGGAAGGUAGCUUGCUACUGGACCUAGCGGCGGACGGGUGAGUAAUGCUUAGGAAUCUGCCUAUUAGUGGGGGACAACAUCUCGAAAGGGAUGCUAAUACCGCAUACGUCCUACGGGAGAAAGCAGGGGAUCUUCGGACCUUGCGCUAAUAGAUGAGCCUAAGUCGGAUUAGCUAGUUGGUGGGGUAAAGGCCUACCAAGGCGACGAUCUGUAGCGGGUCUGAGAGGAUGAUCCGCCACACUGGGACUGAGACACGGCCCAGACUCCUACGGGAGGCAGCAGUGGGGAAUAUUGGACAAUGGGGGGAACCCUGAUCCAGCCAUGCCGCGUGUGUGAAGAAGGCCUUAUGGUUGUAAAGCACUUUAAGCGAGGAGGAGGCUACUUUAGUUAAUACCUAGAGAUAGUGGACGUUACUCGCAGAUAAGCACCGGCUAACUCUGUGCCAGCAGCCGCGGUAAUACAGAGGGUGCGAGCGUUAAUCGGAUUUACUGGGCGUAAAGCGUGCGUAGGCGGCUUAUUAAGUCGGAUGUGAAAUCCCCGAGCUUAACUUGGGAAUUGCAUUCGAUACUGGUGAGCUAGAGUAUGGGAGAGGAUGGUAGAAUUCCAGGUGUAGCGGUGAAAUGCGUAGAGAUCUGGAGGAAUACCGAUGGCGAAGGCAGCCAUCUGGCCUAAUACUGACGCUGAGGUACGAAAGCAUGGGGAGCAAACAGGAUUAGAUACCCUGGUAGUCCAUGCCGUAAACGAUGUCUACUAGCCGUUGGGGCCUUUGAGGCUUUAGUGGCGCAGCUAACGCGAUAAGUAGACCGCCUGGGGAGUACGGUCGCAAGACUAAAACUCAAAUGAAUUGACGGGGGCCCGCACAAGCGGUGGAGCAUGUGGUUUAAUUCGAUGCAACGCGAAGAACCUUACCUGGCCUUGACAUACUAGAAACUUUCCAGAGAUGGAUUGGUGCCUUCGGGAAUCUAGAUACAGGUGCUGCAU
rnacentral:rRNA from 1 species